UUACACGGUGCACCACGGACUUCUCGGAAUCUUUCUUAAAGAAGAAAACCCCAUUGCUCGUGCUAGAUCGCCGCCGUCUAGUGUUGCAGUUUAGCCUUGUACCUCUUUCCACGGCUCCUGUGUCAGAUUGACGGCCAAAUAU